UACGUAGGGUCCGAGCGUUGUCCGGAAUUAUUGGGCGUAAAGAGCUCGUAGGCGGUCCGUUAAGUCGGAGGUGAAAUCUCAAGGCUCAACCUUGAAAUCGCUUUCGAUACUGGCGGACUUGAGGCAGGUAGGGGAAGGUGGAAUUCCUGGUGUAGCGGUGAAAUGCGCAGAUAUUAGGAGGAACACCGGUGGCGAAGGCGGCCUUCUGGGCCUGUUCUGACGCUGAGGAGCGAAAGCGUGGGGAGCAAACAGG
rnacentral:rRNA from 1 species